AUAACGGUGCCCGUACCGCAAACCGACACAGGUAGUCAAGAUGAGAAUUCUAAGGUGAGCGAGCGAACUCUCGUUAAGGAACUCGGCAAAAUGACCCCGUAACUUCGGGAGAAGGGGUGCUCUUUGAGGUUCACGCUUCGAAGAGCCGCAGUGAAUAGGCCCAAGCGACUGUUUAUCAAAAACACAGGUCUCUGCUAAACCGUAAGGUGACGUAUAGGGGCUGACGCCUGCCCGGUGCUGGAAGGUUAAGAGGAGUGGUUAGCGCAAGCGAAGCUACGAAUCGAAGCCCCAGUAAACGGCGGCCGUAACUAUAACGGUCCUAAGGUAGCGAAAUUCCUUGUCGGGUAAGUUCCGACCCGCACGAAAGGCGUAACGAUUUGGGCACUGUCUCAACGAGAGACUCGGUGAAAUCAUAGUACCGGUGAAGAUGCCGGUUACCCGCGACAGGACGGAAAGACCCCGUGGAGCUUUACUGUAGCCUGAUAUUGAAAUUCGGUACAGUUUGUACAGGAUAGGUAGGAGCCUUAGAAGCGUGAGCGCUAGCUUACGUGGAGGCAUUGGUGGGAUACUACCCUAAUUGUAUUGGAUUUCUAACCCGCAGCACUUAUCGUGCUGGGAGACAGUGUCAGGCGGGCAGUUUGACUGGGGCGGUCGCCUCCUAAAGAGUAACGGAGGCGCUCAAAGGUUCCCUCAGAAUGGUUGGAAAUCAUUCAUAGAGUGUAAAGGCAUAAGGGAGCUUGACUGCGAGACCUACAAGUCGAGCAGGGUCGAAAGACGGACUUAGUGAUCCGGUGGUUCCGCAUGGAAGGGCCAUCGCUCAACGGAUAAAAGCUACCCCGGGGAUAACAGGCUUAUCUCCCCCAAGAGUUCACAUCGACGGGGAGGUUUGGCACCUCGAUGUCGGCUCAUCGCAUCCUGGGGCUGUAGUCGGUCCCAAGGGUUGGGCUGUUCGCCCAUUAAAGCGGUACGCGAGCUGGGUUCAGAACGUCGUGAGACAGUUCGGUCCCUAUCCGUCGUGGGCGUAGGAAAUUUGAGAGGAGCUGUCCUUAGUACGAGAGGACCGGGAUGGACAUACCUCUGGUGUACCAGUUGUCGUGCCAACGGCAUAGCUGGGUAGCUAUGUAUGGACGGGAUAAGUGCUGAAAGCAUCUAAGCAUGAAGCCCCCCUCGAGAUGAGAUUUCCCAACUUCGGUUAUAAGAUCCCUCAAAGAUGAUGAGGUGAAUAGGUUCGAGGUGGAAGCGUAGCGAUACGUGGAGCUGACGAAUACUA
rnacentral:rRNA from 1 species